rnacentral:rRNA from 1 species
UAAGGAAUAUUGGUCAAUGGACGCAAGUCUGAACCAGCCAUGCCGCGUGAAGGAAGACGGCCCUACGGGUUGUAAACUUCUUUUGUACGGGAAAAAACCACCGGUCGUGAACCGGUGCUGAUGGUACCGUAAGAAUAAGCAUCGGCUAACUCCGUGCCAGCAGCCGCGGUAAUACGGAGGAUGCAAGCGUUAUCCGGAUUCAUUGGGUUUAAAGGGUGCGCAGGCGGAAUGAUAAGUCAGUGGUGAAAUCCUACGGCUCAACUGUAGAACUGCCAUUGAUACUGUUGUUCUUGAGUACACUUGGAGUGGGCGGAAUGUGUCAUGUAGCGGUGAAAUGCUUAGAUAUGACACAGAACACCGAUCGCGAAGGCAGCUCACUAAGUUGUAACUGACGCUCAGGCACGAAAGCGUGGGGAUCAAACAGG